rnacentral:pre_miRNA from 1 species
CGACUGCAGCCGCUACUACAAGACCAUGAGGACCUGCGGGACAAGAUUCGUGGUGCCACCACUGAGAACGCCAGGGCUGUCCUGCAGACCCACAGCGCCCCUCUGGCUACAGGGC